rnacentral:rRNA from 1 species
CCUACGGGAGGCAGCAGUGGGGAAUAUUGGGCAAUGGGCGCAAGCCUGACCCAGCAACGCCGCGUGAAGGAAGAAGGUUUUCGGGUUGUAAACUUCUUUUGGCAGGGAAGAGUAGAAGACGGUACCUGACGAAUAAGCCAUGGCUAACUACGGGCCAGCAGCUGCGGUAAUACGUAGGUGGGAAGUGAUGUCCGGAUUUACUGGGUGUAAAGGGUGUGUAGCCGGGUUGACAAGUCAGAUGUGAAAUCCUGCGGCUUAACCGCAGAACUGCAGUUGAAACUGUUGAUCUUGAGUACUGGAGAGGCAGACGGAAUGCGUGGUGUAGCGGUGAAAUGCGUAGAUAUUAGGAAGAACACCAGUGGCGAAGGCAGUCUGCUGGACAGCAACUGACGGUGAGGCGCGAAAGCGUGGGGAGCAAACAGGAUUAGAUACCCCAGUAGUC